rnacentral:rRNA from 1 species
GCCUCUUAGUCUGGGAUAGCCAUUGGAAACGAUGAUUAAUACUAGAUACUCCUUGUAAUCAUAAGAUUAUUCGGGAAAGUUUUUUCGCUAAGAGAUCAGUCUAUAUCGCAUCAGUUAGUUGGUGGGGUAAACGGCCUACCAAGACAAUGACGCGUAGCGGGUUUGAGAGGAUGAUCCGCCACACUGGUAAUGAGACACGGACCCAGACUCNUACGGGAGGCAGCAGUGAGGAAUAUUGCACAAUGGGGGAAACCCUGAUGCAGCAACGCCGCGUGGAGGAUGCCGCAUUUCGGUGUGUAAACUCCUUUUAUGAGUCAAGAAAAUGACGGUAGCUCAUGAAUAAGCACCGGCUAACUCCGUGCCAGCAGCCGCGGUAAUACGGAGGGUGCAAGCGUUACUCGGAAUCACUGGGCGUAAAGGACGCGUAGGCGGGUUAUCAAGUCAGGUGUGAAAUCCUAUGGCUCAACCAUAGAACUGCACUUGAAACUGGUAACCUAGAGUAUGGGAGGGGCAGAUGGAAUUAGUAGUGUAGGGGUAAAAUCCGUAGAUAUUACUAGGAAUACCGAAAGCGAAGGCGAUCUGCUGGAACAUAACUGACGCUAAGGCGUGAAAGCGUGGGGAGCAAACGGGAUUAGAUACCCCGGUAGUCCACGCCCUAAACGAUGAACACUAGUCGUCGGGGAGCUAGUCUCUUCGGUGAUGCACUUAACAGAUUAAGUGUUCCGCCUGGGGAGUACGGUCGCAAGAUUAAAACUCAAAGGAAUAGACGGGGACCCGCACAAGUGGUGGAGCAUGUGGUUUAAUUCGAAGAUACGCGAAGAACCUUACCUAGCCUUGACAUUGAUUGAAUACCCUAGAGAUAGAGUAGUGCCCUUCGGGGAACAUGAAAACAGGUGCUGCACGGCUGUCGUC